rnacentral:rRNA from 1 species
CUCAGCAGCCAUAUCACUUUGCAACCCACUGAAGCUAAGCAAGAGUGAACUUGGUCAGUACCUGGAUGUGAGACCUCCUGGGAAAAACUAAGGUUGCUGUUG